UACGGAGGGGGCUAGCGUUGUUCGGAAUUACUGGGCGUAAAGCGCGCGUAGGCGGCCCUGCAAGUCGGGGGUGAAAGCCCGAGGCUCAACCUCGGAACUGCCUUCGAUACUGCGGGUCUCGAGUCCGGGAGAGGUGAGUGGAAUUCCUAGUGUAGAGGUGAAAUUCGUAGAUAUUAGGAAGAACACCAGUGGCGAAGGCGGCUCACUGGCCCGGUACUGACGCUGAGGCGCGAAAGCGAGGGGAGCAAACAGG
rnacentral:rRNA from 1 species